AUUGAACGCUGGCGGCAGGCCUAACACAUGCAAGUCGAGCGAGCGGCGGACGGGUGAGUAAUGUAUGGGAAUCUGCCCGAUAGAGGGGGAUAACUACUGGAAACGGUGGCUAAUACCGAAUACUAUCGGAUGUGCCCAGAUGGGAUUAGCUAGUAGGUGGGGUAAAGGCUCACCUAGGCGACGAUCCCUAGCUGGUCUGAGAGGAUGAACAGCCAAACUGGGACUGAGACACGGCCCAGACGCCUACGGGAGGCAGCAGUGGGGAAUAUUGCACAAUGGGCGCAAGCCUGAUGCAGCAAUGCCGCGUGUAUGAAGAAGGCCUUAGGGUUGUAAAGUACUUUCAGCGUGGAGGCGUUACCCGCAGAAGAAGCACCGGCUAACUCCGUGCCAGCAGCCGCGGUAAUAC
rnacentral:rRNA from 1 species